CUUGCUUUUCUCUGAUGUUAGCGGCGGACGGGUGAGUAACACGUGGGCAACCUGCCCUUUAGUUUGGGAUAACUUCGGGAAACCGGAGCUAAUACCGAAUAAUACUCUUUCCUUCAUGGGAGAAAGUUGAAAGAUGGUUUACGCUAUCGCUAGAGGAUGGGCCCGCGGUGCAUUAGCUAGUUGGUGAGGUAACGGCUCACCAAGGCCACGAUGCAUAGCCGACCUGAGAGGGUGAUCGGCCACACUGGGACUGAGACACGGCCCAGACUCCUACGGGAGGCAGCAGUAGGGAAUCUUCCACAAUGGACGAAAGUCUGAUGGAGCAAUGCCGCGUGAGUGAUGAAGGAUUUCGGUUCGUAAAACUCUGUUGUAAGGGAAGAACAAGUAACGUAGUAACUGGCGUUACCAUGACGGUACCUUAUUAGAAAGCCACGGCUAACGGGGGUGCCAGCAGCCGCGGUAAUACGUAGGUGGCAAGCGUUGUCCGGAAUUAUUGGGCGUAAAGCGCGCGCAGGUGGUUCUUUAAGUCUGAUGUGAAAGCCUCCGGCUCAACCGGAGAGGGUCAUUGGAAACUGGGGAACUUGAGUGCAGAAGAGGAUAGUGGAAUUCCAAGUGUAGCGGUGAAAUGCGUAGAGAUUU
rnacentral:rRNA from 1 species